rnacentral:lncRNA from 1 species
GUUUGGUGGUCUCUUCGCACAGAAGUGCAUGAAAUUUGGUGCUGUGACUGGGAUCGGGGGACCUCCCUUGGGAGAUCAAUCCUCUGUCCUCCUGCUCUUUGCUCCAUGAGAAAGGUCCACCUACGACCUCAGGUCCUCAGACCGACCAGCCCAAGAAACAUCUCAUCAAUUUCAAAUCCGGACCCCACUGGAAAUCGGACUGUUCAACUCACCUGGCAGCCACUCCCAGAGCCCCUGGAACUCUGGCCCAAGGCUCUCUGACUGACUCCUUCCCAGAUCUUCUCGGCUUAGCGGCUGAAGACCGACGCUGCCGGAUCGUCUCGGAAGCCCCGUAGACCAUCACGGACGCCGAGCUUUAAGUAACUCUCACAGUGGACGCUACUUGGGAAGUGGAGGCAGGAGGAUCGCU